rnacentral:rRNA from 1 species
AUGGUGGAGGGGAUGGGUUCGGAGAGGCAGCUGGUGGUGGCCGUCGAGGGCACGGCGGCGCUGGGGCCGUACUGGCCCGCCAUUGCGGCCGAGUACGUCGAGAAGAUCGUUCGGAGUUUUUGUUCUACUGAACUAUCAGGGCAGAAGCUUGCAGGGGUACCACCUGAGCUUGCAUUAGUUGUCUUCCAUACCCACGGACCUUACAGUGCCUUUAUUGUACAACGCAGCGGUUGGACAAAAGAUAUGGAUGCUUUUCUUUCAUGGUUAUCAGGAAUAUCAUUUAGUGGUGGAGGCUUCAGUGAAGCUGCUAUUUGUGAAGGUCUUGCUGAAGCACUGAUGAUACUCCAAGGCAGUCCUGGUAGCAGCCUGAAUCAUCAAAAUCGUGAACUUCAAAAGCAUUGCCUACUUGUUGCUGCAAGUAAUCCUUACCCGCUGCCUACACCUGUCUACCGCCCUUCUGUUCAAAGUAGUGAUCACAAAAAGAGCAACGAAGCAACAAAGGAAUCAUGUCUUGCUGAUGCUGAGACUGUUGCAGUCUCAUUUGCUCAGUCCUCUGUAUCGUUGUCGGUGGUAUCUCCUAAACAGCUACCAACACUGAAGGCAAUAUACAACGCGGGAAAGAGGAAUCCUCAAGCUUCUGAUCCAUCAGUUGAUCAUGCCAAAAAUCCACAUUUUCUUGUUUUGCUGUCUGAGAGUUUCAUGGAGGCUCGAACCGCUCUAAGCCAUCCUUUACCUGGGAACCUUGUCCCAAACCACACCAUUACAAAAAUGGAUACCGCACCUGCAGCUACUGUGCCAGGACCACCUUCGAAUGCCACUCCCUCAGUGAAUGGAACGAUGAUGGGACGGCAACCGACUGCAAAUGUUAAAGUGGAGCCGACAACUAUACCACCAAUGGUUUCUGCACCUGCAUUCUCUCAUAUGACACCUAUUUCAAAUGUUGCUUCUCAAGGUGUAUCAGCAAUGCAAACUUCUUCACCAUCGAUUAUUUCACAAGAAACAAAUGUUGCAAAUGAAAUAUUGCAAGAGCAUAAGCCUUUAGUAAACCCUAUCCAACAACAGGUUCGGCCUGGUGGCCCAGCAAAUGUUAGCAUCCUAAACAAUCUUUCACAACAUCGACACUCUUUAACAGCAGCUACCUCAAUGGGACCUAACAUGGGGGCAACACCUAUACAAGUGCACAUGUCAAACAUGAUAUCGAGUGGCAUGACAUCGACUCCCGCUGUCAUAUCUUCUAUAUCUGGAACAGUACAGCCAAUUGGUGCUCAACAGUUGGUACAGAACACAGCUCUCGGUUCUUUUGGGUCAAACACUUCUACUGUAUCUGGUAAUUCAAAUAUUGCCGUAUCUUCUUCUUUGGCUAACAUACAAAGCAACAUGGCCAUGGGACAAUCAGUGCCUUCUAUGGCACAAGGUGGUCUGAUGGCUGGUCCACAAUCAGGACAAGGUGGAAUUGGUACGAACCAAAACAUGAUAAAUAACCUUGGGACUACGGCUAUCUCUUCUACGCCUACAAUGAUGCCAACACCAGGAAUGGUCCAGCAAACAGGAGUAAACGCUCUUAGUGCGAACAACAGUUCUGCUAUGAAUAUGCCUCUGGCACAACAUCCUAAUGGCCAGCAACCAUCGAAGUAUGUCAAAAUUUGGGAGGGAACUUUGUCUGGGCAAAGGCAAGGACAACCUGUAUUUAUUUGUAAACUUGAAGGUUAUAGGAGUGGAACAGCGUCUGACACACUUGCUUCAGACUGGCCAGAAACGAUGCAGAUCGUGCGCCUCAUAGCCCAAGAGCAUAUGAACAACAAGCAGUAUGUUGGCAAGGCGGACUUUCUAGUAUUUCGGACAUUGAAUCAGCAUGGGUUCCUCGGACAACUACAAGAGAAGAAACUGUGUGCAGUGAUUCAGCUACCUUCACAAACUUUGCUGUUGUCAGUGUCUGACAAAGCUGGGCGCCUCAUAGGAAUGCUGUUCCCAGGGGAUAUGGUGGUAUUCAAACCACAGGUCUCAACUCAGCAGCCACAGAUGCAGCCACAGCAGCAGCAGCAGCAGCAGCAGCUACAACAGCAGCAGCACCAAAUACAGCAGCAACAGCAGCAACUACAGCAACUGCAACAGCAGCAACUACAACAGCACCAAAUGCAAAUGCAGCCUCAAGGCCAGCAACUUCAGCAGCAGCAGCAGAUGCAGCAAAUGCAACAGCAACAACAACAGAUGCAGCAAAUGCAACACCAACAACAGCAGCAGCAGCAGCAGAUUCAACAGCAGCAACAGAUGCAGCAGCAGCAGCAGCAACAGCAACAACAACAGAUGCAGCAAAUGCAGCAGCAGCAGCAGCAGCAACAGCCUCAACAACUCCAGCAGCAGCCGCAGAUGGUGGGUACAGGGAUGGGUCAGCAACAAUUCAUGCAGGGGCAUGGUCGGGCGGUGCAGAUGAUGCAAGGAAAGAUCACGCCACAGGGCCCAGGCAACAUGUCUGGAGGAGGCUACCUAUCUUGA